UGGCUAACGGGUGAGUAACACGUGGGUGAUCUGCCCUGCACUUCGGGAUAAGCCUGGGAAACUGGGUCUAAUACCGGAUAGGAGCCAUUUUUAGUGUGAUGGUUGGAAAGUUUUUUCGGUGUAGGAUGAGCUCGCGGCCUAUCAGCUUGUUGGUGGGGUAAUGGCCUACCAAGGCGGCGACGGGUAGCCGGCCUGAGAGGGUGGACGGCCACAUUGGGACUGAGAUACGGCCCAG
rnacentral:rRNA from 1 species